UGGAAUGCAUCUGUCACUCAAUUUUCUCUUAGUCUCUAAACUAAUCUCUCUCAAAAUGUUACUCCACCAAAAUAUGAGAAACCCAUUGUUCAUGACCAUCACCUUCACAAUAAUUCUUGGAAUAGCCCUACUGCCCAGAAACGCAUUAGGUCAAAAUUGGGGGUGUAAACCAGAUGAAUGUUGUAGCGAAUUUGGGUAUUGUGGGAAGGAUAAAGAGUACUGUGGCCCUGGAUGCCAAUCGGGCCCGUGUUCCCCAACCCCUAGUGAAAAUGGACCUUAAUAAUUGCUUAGACAUGAAAGGUUUCUGAGUCCACACUUUUAAAAUUUUUUUUAAAAAAAAUCUUAUUUUUUUAUUGAUUUAAUUAAUAAAACCACACGUAUACCAGACGUAGGCAAUGAACUUUUAAAAGCAAUUAAUCACUGAAUUAUUAUAAAUUAAUCAUUUAGUAAUACCGUUAGUUUGUGCUUAUAGGUGUUGACGUGGCAUGAAACACGAUGAAAUAUUACAUAAUUUUAUACAUUUUUUGCAUUUUUUUUUAAAAAAAUGGAAAAUCAGACAAUAUAAUGAGCAUUCGUUAAAAGAAUUUGGAAUGUUGUGAGGUUUCCCCUUCUUAAAAUAUAUAGGAAAAGCGAGAAAAUAAUUUAGCGACUGAAUUAAUAAAAAAGAAUAUAAUAAUUUUUAAAAAAGCGAGAAAAUUAAUUAUAUUAUAUAUGAUUGACAAGUGCAUGAUAAUUUUAAAUUUAAUUGAUAAAGCUUAUUUAUAUAGCAUCUAAUAAAAUCUCAAUCAAAAUAAAAUUUACUGAAAAUAAUAAGUAAAAAAUUUUACUUGAAAUUUUUACCAUCUUGAAAUUAGUUUCUUAAUUAUUUGAAAUUCGAGGCAAUGAUACAAUCUUAAAAUUUAUGAUAAAUUUCAGUGAUUAGGAGAGGAAUUGAAAUUAUUAUAACCUAAAAAUAUACAGAAUUAUAGAAUGCAUGAGUAUUACGAGUGGUAAGAUAUAAUUGAAUUAUGGAUAAUUAAGCUAAAACUUUGAAAAUAAAUUUUAACGAGGAAUUGAAUUAAACAAUUUUAUGAUAUAAAAAUUUCAACUUCUAUACUAAUAUUUAAAAAUAUAAUAACUCCUAAAUUUUCAAUUACCAAAUAACAUGAGUACGCAACCACUGGUCUAUGCUCAUGGGUAGUCUUUCAACUUUCGUAACACUAUAAAAUAACCACUGCAUAUCUUAUUGGAAUGCAUCUGUCACUCAAUUUUCUCUUAGUCUCUAAACUAAUCUCUCUCAAAAUGUUACUCCACCAAAAUAUGAGAAACCCAUUGUUCAUGACCAUCACCUUCACAAUAAUUCUUGGAAUAGCCCUACUGCCCAGAAACGCAUUAGGUCAAAAUUGGGGGUGUAAACCAGAUGAAUGUUGUAGCGAAUUUGGGUAUUGUGGGAAGGAUAAAGAGUACUGUGGC
rnacentral:lncRNA from 1 species